UACGAAGGGGGCUAGCGUUGCUCGGAAUCACUGGGCGUAAAGGGUGCGUAGGCGGGUCUUUAAGUCAGGGGUGAAAUCCUGGAGCUCAACUCCAGAACUGCCUUUGAUACUGAAGAUCUUGAGUUCGGGAGAGGUGAGUGGAACUGCGAGUGUAGAGGUGAAAUUCGUAGAUAUACGGAGGAACACCAGCGGCGAAGGCGGGUAGCUGGGCCAACACUGACGCUGAUGCGCGAAAGCUAGGGGAGCAAACGGG
rnacentral:rRNA from 1 species